AGCCGUAAGGACACGGAAGGACGCUAUUACCAAAGCCUGUCUACUAAAGUGUCUGUUAGUAGCUUAUUUGUAUGCUGUCUAAACUGAAGAUUCAGGUGGCGUUGUAAGAACAACAACAAUCGUGAAUGACGUGCAAGUGCAAAUGCACUGGAACAGGAGGCAGUGUGAAAACAAUACGCAUCCUCUCCUGAGGAAAAAACUCUCAGAGGAGAGUCCAGACUUCCAUACUCCAGCAUACAGAUCAAAAUGGAGGUCACUCAAGUCCUCUUUGACUCAAUUUGUUUGUAUACAUGGUACCCAAGUAGUAAACUAUAUAAUGGCAUUUGUGGUGCUCUUGUGACAAAGUACCCUUUUGGACGCGAUCGAACAGGACAAGGUUAUGACAGUUGGUUGGGAAUGCUUAAAAACAAGUUUAAAAAAGAGCGAAUCCCACUGACCAAUCCCGACAUUGAAUACUACAGAGCAAAACAUGGGGGGAAAAAAGUUUAAAACAAUACAGGCAAGUCAGGCUCUUACAAGCCAAGUGGCAGACCAGAUGCCUACUUUCCAGGAUGUGAUUGAAGACAACGUUGUACCAAAUGCAGUUUUUCAACAUGACAAGGAAAAUGAAGAUCCAUAUAGUGUUGGGAAGCAUAUAGCAAAAAUGAAGGAGGAGUGUAAGAAAGUCCAUCCAAACAUUACCAUCUUAAAGGAUAAAAUGAAAAGGACAGCACACGAAAGAAUGGAGUUUAUCCAGAGUCACUCUACCAGGGAGUCAUUACUGGAAUUCCCUGCAUUAAAUCAGAUUUUCUCAGAAAUUGAAGAGAGAUAUAAAGUUGACCUGGACAAGAUGCUGCUGCACGGCCUGCAGAGGACAGCAGGGAAGAUUCUUGAGCACGAAUCAAAAAAGAAGCUCGGAACUAACAUUCUUUCCCAAUACGAGAUGGCACUAGGGGAAGCUUGUGAGGAGACUCACAGAGGACUCAAAAUUUGUGCUGCAGCACUCAUGCUCUCUGUGAAAAAGGAGUCCUCUCCUUUUCCCCUACAACAAACGUUUGAAAAACUGCCUUGUGCCACACCUGCAUGGACUGCAGCCAAACACACUCACCUGCACUCAGUUUGUUUUAUUGCUGUUUAUGUCUUGUGUAUGUAGGUGUAUGUAUGUGUCUUUAUACUGGGAGAUUUUAACUGUGUGGGCAUAAUGGUAUAGACAUUCACCCCUCUACAAUGGUUUAGCCCUACAUACUGAUUGGGGUAAUUGCCAAGCCUAUUUAAAGGCAGGCUUAUUUCACACAGGAGAGAGAUACUGUACAAUAGACUGGAAACACAGGAGAACCAGGGAGACAUGCGGAAGAGCAUGAGGUCCAGAAAUCAGGGAAGUCAUAGAGUUUGUUUGUUUGUUUUACUAAGUUAAUUAAGUUAACCUUGCUUGUUGUGAGGCAAGGUUUGAGUGUGAGGUCCAAAGUUACAAGGUUGCCUUAUUUGGACAGGGAGCCUAAAAGAGUAGGUUCCGGGUGCCUAGUUUAAUGGCAUGUUACGUGUUUGUUUGUCGACUGAAGAACCCUGUAUUUAAUGUUUUGAACCCCUAUUGUGCUCCUGGAUCUGCCUGUUUGCUUAUGGACAAAAUAAAUUAUAUUUUUGUAUGAAACUGCUGUCUCCUGCCUUC